rnacentral:rRNA from 1 species
AGCGAACGCUGGCGGCAGGCCUAACACAUGCAAGUCGAACGAAGUCUUCGGACUUAGUGGCGGACGGGUGAGCAACACGUGGGCACGUGCCUUUAGGUUCGGAAUAACUCAGGGAAACUUGUGCUAAUACCGAAUGUGCCCUUCGGGGGAAAGAUUUAUCGCCUUUAGAGCGGCCCGCGUCUGAUUAGCUAGUUGGUGAGGUAAAGGCUCACAAAGGCUACGAUCAGUAGCUGGUCUGAGAGGAUGACCAGCCACAUUGGGACUGAGACACGGCCCAAACUCCUACGGGAGGCAGCAGUGGGGAAUCUUGCGCAAUGGGCGAAAGCCUGACGCAGCCAUGCCGCGUGGAUGAUGAAGGUCUUAGGAUUGUAAAAUCCUUUCACCGGUGAAGAUAAUGACUGUAGCCGGAGAAGAAGCCCCGGCUAACUUCGUGCCAGCCGCCGCAGUAAAAC